rnacentral:rRNA from 1 species
GGCUCAGAUUNAACGCUGGCGGCAUGCUUUACACAUGCAAGUCGAACGGCAGCACGGUGCUUGCACCUGGUGGCGAGUGGCGAACGGGUGAGUAAUACAUCGGAACGUACCUUAUCGUGGGGGAUAACGCAGCGAAAGCUGUGCUAAUACCGCAUACGCCCUGAGGGGGAAAGCGGGGGAUCGAAAGACCUCGCGCGAUUAGAGCGGCCGAUGCCUGAUUAGCUUGUUGGUGGGGGUAAAAGCCCACCAAGGCGACGAUCAGUAGCUGGUCUGAGAGGACGAUCAGCCACACUGGGACUGAGACACGGCCCAGACUCCUACGGGAGGCAGCAGUGGGGAAUUUUGGACAAUGGACGCAAGUCUGAUCCAGCCAUGCCGCGUGCGGGAAGAAGGCCUUCGGGUUGUAAACCGCUUUUGUCAGGGAAGAAAUCUUCUGAGUUAAUACCUCGGGAGGAUGACGGUACCUGAAGAAUAAGCACCGGCUAACUACGUG